AGUAAUGUGGCACAAUGGGUUAGUGCAUCUGGCUUUUAACCAGAAGGUUGGUGGUUCAAUUAUUCAGUUAUUGACUA